GGAUGCGAUCAUACCAGCACUAAAGCACCGGAUCCCAUUAGAACUCCGUAGUUAAGCGUGCUUGGGCGAGAGUAGUACUAGGAUGGGUGACCUCCUGGGAAGUCCUCGUGUUGCAUUCC
rnacentral:rRNA from 1 species